UAUUUUUAUUUAUUUUAUUUAUUUGAUUGGGCGUGUUUGGUUAACACAACUAGGCCAUUGGCCUAGUGGGAGAGGGGGUUGAACCCCAUGACCCCAAGGUCAGGGGUUGGGGGUCAACCCCCAGCGUGUGCAAAUCUUAUUUAUUUUUUCACUUAUGUUAUUCUUAUUCAUUAUUUUUCUCAUUUUUAUUUACAUGUUG
rnacentral:lncRNA from 1 species